rnacentral:rRNA from 1 species
UACGUAGGGGGCGAGCGUUAUCCGGAAUUACUGGGCGUAAAGCGCACGCAGGCGGUUCGCCAAGUUUGGAGUGACAGUUGUCGGCUCAACCGACAAAGGACUUCAAAAACUGGUGAACUUGAGGACGAGAGAGGAACAUGGAACUCCAGGUGUAGUAGUGAAAUGCGUAGAUAUCUGGAAGAACACCAAUGGCGAAGGCAAUGUUCUGGCUCGUUUCUGACGCUCAGGUGCGAAAGCCAGGGGCGCGAACGGG